rnacentral:rRNA from 1 species
AUGAACGCUGGCGGCGCGCCUAAUACAUGCAAGUCGAGCGAACGGACGAGAAGCUUGCUUCUCUGAUGUUAGCGGCGGACGGGUGAGUAACACGUGGAUAACCUACCUAUAAGACUGGGAUAACUUCGGGAAACCGGAGCUAAUACCGGAUAAUAUUUUGAACCGCAUGGUUCAAAAGUGAAAGACGGUCUUGCUGUCACUUAUAGAUGGAUCCGCGCUGCAUUAGCUAGUUGGUAAGGUAACGGCUUACCAAGGCAACGAUGCAUAGCCGACCUGAGAGGGUGAUCGGCCACACUGGAACUGAGACACGGUCCAGACUCCUACGGGAGGCAGCAGUAGGGAAUCUUCCGCAAUGGGCGAAAGCCUGACGGAGCAACGCCGCGUGAGUGAUGAAGGUCUUCGGAUCGUAAAACUCUGUUAUUAGGGAAGAACAUAUGUGUAAGUAACUGUGCACAUCUUGACGGUACCUAAUCAGAAAGCCACGGCUAACUACGUG